GUUAUAGAGAGAUAUAAGGGCAAAAGAAAUACUUCAUAUGGAUUCCCUGUCUGGAUGUCCAGACCACGAAAUUGUACAAGAAUCCAUGGCUACCCAAGGCAAACCAACGAUUACGAUUGUGGUGUUUUUGUGUGCAAGUUGCCUAUAAACAUGUAAACAUUCAUCGGUCGAUUCUUCUUGAUGAAAAGGAGCCCUUCAUGGACCACCAGGAAAAGAUUGAUGGAGAAAAAGUGUGAGAACCUUGUAUUAUAAUUGAUCAAGAAAAAGAAAUCGAAAGAAAUGUGGAACUGACCAAAUUUCUUCUACAACCAAUGGAAA